AAAAGUAAAAAUAUAAAAAGAAUAAAGUUCAAAUACCACUUCAGUGGAUUCGUACUUUCUGACACUUUAGCAUUUUAAAGUGUAUCAAUUUAGUAUUUUGUGGUUUCAUUUUUCUUUUUUCGUCAGUUCCUCCGUUAACUUUUCGUUAAAUUAUAUAUAAAAAAACUUUAGAUACCUCAUCUAUAGUUUAUCGAAUAUUCACUUUAAUACUAUUUUUUUUUUAACUUUCUCACUGAUUUAACAAAAAAAUUAGUGAAAGGGGAUAACAAAAAGAAGGAAGUAAGGUAAAAAAAGGUAUAGAACUUAUCUAAAUUAUUGCCAUUUUGAUUUGGCUAUCCAACUUUUCAAAAUUUUGAUUUUAUUAUCUGAUAUUUCAAUUUGUUUGAUUUGAGUCAAUUUAUGGUAUUUUGAUUUCAAAUUUUGAAUGUAUCGUUUAUCUUUACAUGUUUAGUGAGUAUAUUUUAUGCAAUUCUCACAACUGUAAAUUAAUUUAAGUUAUUAGCUUAAAGUUUGAAGUCAAGUUGUUGUUGACUAACUCAAAAUUAAACAAAUUGGAAUGUUGGAAACUAAAAUCAAAAUUUUAAAAGAUUGAGUAAUUGAAUCAAAAUAGUCUAUAAUUCUGAUAAGUUAAGUACAUCUUUAUAUUUUAGUAAAUAA
rnacentral:lncRNA from 1 species